rnacentral:misc_RNA from 1 species
AGAUAAUGGCAUCUACUUCUUUGAUACCGGAAGUGACGAUGAGUAUGGUGGUAGUAGUGACAAUGAGGAUGAAGAUGAUAGUGAUAUGGAUGAAGAUGAAGAUGUUUUCUCCGAUGGUAUGGAUGAUGACGAUGAUGACAAUAGUGACGAUGAUGACGACGACAACGAUGAUGAUGAUGAUAGUUUUGAUUUUUUAGAUAUACCCGAUGAUGGAAAUGGUGUUGAGUUCUUUGAAACUGUUGGGGACCCUGAUUUUGACGAUUCCUCAGAUAAUGACCAAGAUGCUCCCAGUGAUUCAUGUUGUGAUGAUGAUGACUCCAAUGAAAAUGACAUUGAUGAGUGAUGAUGUUGCAACAGUAACAUGGAUUAUGAUACUUCUCGUGAAAGAUGAUAUUAUGCCUGUUACAUGUGCUGAUGAAUUUGCACUUUGUGUUUCCAGCAGAGACCUAAAG